GGCCUGACUAGACGGAUUUUCGUGUGAUCUUCUGAUUGGGGAAAUGUGGGGUACGGAAGACCGCUUGCCUGGUGUCGCUCGGGGGCCUGAGUCCUUCUGAUCGAGGCUCA